GUCAUGGUCAUUUUUCACAGCAGUCCUAGGCAAUUAAGCUCAGGAAAUGUCAAGAAAAGACUAAACAGAUUACUUAUUUAUUACUUACUUAUUUUGCACUGAAAUACAAUUGGUAUAUAACAAACCAAUGAUUUCAUGGAUAUUACUAUUAGAGAGGAGGCUCAGUAUAAAUCUAAGGUAAAACACGGAGGGAUAGACAAAUGUAACAAACUCAUGAAAGUGACAUGUGAACGUGUCAAACGGAAAUGUGUUGGAAGAGAAGCAGGUCUCUGUCCGCCCUCUUCUCCAUGCCGCUCAUUCUAUGGCCCUGCAUUUUAGAAGAUACAAAAAGAUUCACGUAGAAAAGAUGAACACAAACCCACAAUUCCCCUGGAGGAGGAAGAGGGAGAGAGAGAGAGAGCCUUUGCUCACUUACUAAGGGGGCCUCAGAAUCUGUCUCUAUCUGGAGAACCCCUAACAUGAGCACAACUAGCAUAAUCCCAGGAGAUGGGCGCUGCCACAGGUGGACGGUCUCCGGGUGGAUGCAGCAGGAGGGAGCAGAUGGAGGGAAAGGAGCCGCCCCAGCACCUCGCAGGAGCUCAGCCCUUCCCCAGGCCAACAGGCCGGAAAGCCCAUUGGAUCAUUGAAUGUCAGAGUAGAAGAGACCACAGACAUCGAAUGAUCAGUUGAAAUAACAGUUUUUCAGCUGAAAAAAAGAGGAAUUCCAGAGUCUUUCAGUGAAGCUCACGGGUCUCACUGGUCCCUUGGCGGCGCCCUUCCCAGAGUUCUUUCAAGGUCUGUGACCCUCUCGAAGCCAGGUUCCGGGAGGGGUUUUUACCUUUGCCCGGUCCCUGGCAGUGCUGGAACUGCCGUCCGAUUCAUUUCAUCUCUCGAUUUGGCGGAGUAUUCGGAAGGGGCGAGAGAUGAGGCGUGAAGGGAGGGACGCGCGCGGCCACGCUCCCCGCAGGACGCGGCUCCGGACCCGGCGUCGGGGCUCCGCGGGACCCAGGUGUUCCCGAGGGGAAGAAACUGGCAGAAAGUGGACGCCUCCGCCCGCUGCCCCCCCCCCCCCACACACACACACAGGUAACGGCACCACAGCUGCCUUCCGCACACGCGGCUCCCGGCGCCAACGCCAACGCCUCCGCGCCCUCCGGGACCCUCCGACCCCGGCUCAAGCUCCUCCCCGCCCGCGGGCCCCGGCGGGAGCGGCGGCGGCGGCGGCGGGGAGCGGGGAGCGGGGAGCGGGCCGCGCUCGCUGCCAUUGGCUGUGCGGCCCGAGGGGCGGGGGCCCCGCAGUCCCGCCGGCUCCGCGGCCCCGGCUCCCGCCCGCCCUCCCGCAGCCGGUGCGCUCGAGCCCUGCGCUCCCCGGACGGCCGCGCGGGGGCGGGGCGCCGAGGCGGGGGCGGGGGCGGGGCGCGGCGGGGCGCGGGCGGGGCGCGGGCGGGGAGCUCAGCGCAGCUCCAGUCCGGGCCGGGCCGGCGCGCCGCGGGAGGGGAGGUCGCCGCGCGCGGGCUCGCAGGGUCGUCUGUCCCCUCCGGGCACUCCCCGCGUGCACUGCCGGCCUUGCACCUUCGCGCGCCCGCAGAGCCUUUGCACCCGUCUUAGGUGCUUCAAAUCCGGGCAGAAUGCUCUGAAGAGAUUGACACAUGUUCAUGGUUCUCAUUAAAGAAGCUUCAUGUAAGGCAGAUGAAGGAGGACAGCGAUUG
rnacentral:lncRNA from 1 species